rnacentral:rRNA from 1 species
AUGGCGGCCUUGGCCUGUGCAUCUAAUGUGCGCCGCCUCCUCCUCCACCCCGGCGCCGGAGCUCCGGCGAGAUCCUUCUACUCCCAGCCCUACCAAGCCAAGGUAGGCGUGGUGGAGUUCUUGAAUGGGGUCGGCAAGGGGGUGGAGACGCACGCCGCGAAGCUGGAGGAGGCCGUAGGAGGCGAUCUCNAGAGGCUGCUCGAGACCCGCACGCUACGGCUCAAGAAACUCGGCGUCCCCUGCAAGCAUAGGAAGUUGAUUUUGAGUUUUGCCCACAAGUACCGCCUUGGUCUUUGGAAGCCCCGGGCAGAAGCCAGGAAAGUGCAGUAA